rnacentral:lncRNA from 1 species
CCUGUGUGGCACAAGAUUUCUGGAUGACAUUUUCACCUGGGAUAUCAGGUGCAUUCCAUCAAGGCCACAGAUGGACAAAUGAAGAUCAAGACAUGGUGACAAAUGCCAGCUACUUUGCUAGCGAACCUGAAAAGCCUUUUGCCCAGCAGAGGGCAGUCACAAACUUGGCUGGGAGAAGGAGACCUGCAGGCUCGCGCGGAUCGGCCCAGCAUGCACUCAGCGUCCAGCAGAGGGCGCGUGCGUGCCAGUGUUAACCUUGAUGCUUGCUUGUUCCGUAAUCCAGCUGUGGAACAACAAAUCAGAGCAAGCCACCGAGUCCUCUUGAGAGCUGAUGACCAAGUCUCCAGGCUGGCAUGGAUCAGAAACGGAGGAGAAUAUUGA